AAUGCAUUGGUUCUCAUCCAAUCACUGAAGUUAAGCAACAUUGAGCCUGUUCAAUACUUUGAUGAGUGACUGCUUGGGCAUACCAGGUGCCGUAAG